AUUGAACGCUGGCGGCAUGCUUUACACAUGCAAGUCGAACGGUAACAGGGUGCUUGCACCGCUGACGAGUGGCGAACGGGUGAGUAAUGCGUCGGAACGUGCCGAGUAGUGGGGGAUAACGCAGCGAAAGGUGUGCUAAUACCGCAUACGUACUGAGGUAGAAAGUGGGGGACCUUCGGGCCUCACGCUAUUCGAGCGGCCGACGUCUGAUUAGCUAGUAGGUGAGGUAAAGGCUCACCUAGGCGACGAUCAGUAGCGGGUCUGAGAGGAUGAUCCGCCACACUGGGACUGAGACACGGCCCAGACUCCUACGGGAGGCAGCAGUGGGGAAUUUUGGACAAUGGGCGAAAGCCUGAUCCAGCCAUGCCGCGUGUCUGAAGAAGGCCUUCGGGUUGUAAAGGACUUUUGUCAGGGAGGAAAUCCCUAGCGUUAAUACCGCUGGGGGAUGACAGUACCUGAAGAAUAAGCACCGGCUAACUACGUGCCAGCCGCCGCUGUAAUAC
rnacentral:rRNA from 1 species